ensembl:lncRNA
AUGGAUUCUGAAUCUGUGCUUUUUAGCUGCCAUGUGUCAUCAUCUUCCUGCUAAUGGUCAUCCUUUUUUGUUUGUUUGGUUUUUGGUACUGAGGAUCGAACUCAGAACCUUGCACUUGCCAGGCAGGCGCAGCUCCACUGAGCUAAAUCCCUGGCCCUGAUGGUCAUCCUUUUGAGGAAGCUGUUGGAAGCUUGAGUCUUUCCUGAGAGGGAAGAAUGGGAUGUUGAUAACAUCUUAGCAGAUAUCUGAGAGACCAGACAGUUUCCUGCACUUCUGUCUUACUUCAAAAGGUCUUAAUGCUUAGAUGGUUGAUCCCUCGGGACCCACAGUCUCAUCAUGUCUCACAAAGGACGGCAGAGGUACAGGUGGUGGCCUGACUGGUUGGCGAUCUCCCGACAGCUGGAUCUCCGGCAAUGUGAAGCUUUUGUUUGGUUCCUCUACUCCCCACUCCCAACUCACUUUUUAGUUUUGCCCUUUUUUUCUUUUUCUUUUUUAAUUUAAACCAUCCAGACUUCCGAAGAACAGAAAGCUAUGCUCUUAACAGGCAGCAUUUCUUUUAAAAAAUUCAGUGUGGACAAAGCAUAUGUGUUAAUUUCUCUGUUGAUUUUUACAAGGGGUUAGGGAGCAAUUUUGGUUUUGUACUUCAUUUUCCCUGUCUUCCUUCCUUUACACGUCUUUUAGUUCUGCUUAUAGCGUCUCACUUCCCAGAGAAGACCUGUUACCCCAGAAAGAAUUUUGGGGUUUCUCCUGGAAUGGGACUUGAAGACAUAAGGGCCACCUCCCUAAACCAUGUGGGAAUUGCUGGACUCCUUGGUGGGCUGGUCCUGGCUGCCUCUUGGGCCUCGGACAGCAUCAGAGGCAUAGAACCACCAGGAAGAAGACAACCAGGGUUUAGCCAGGAGGAUCCCAGAAGGAGGCAGAAAUGCCAGUUUGGUUCUCUUGAAGCUGCUGGCGGCCCCAGGCCACAGCAGGACUCACAGUGAUGGAAAUUGGUCCCCUCUUUUGCCCUCUGUAACUUCGAGCCUGAGGGGGGAGGUAGAGCAUGACCAUCCCCCACCCCAGCUCCUCAGGCCUUCCAUGAGGACUAUUGUGCCAAACCUCUGCCUAGGUUACACAGGGUCUUCUUGGGCACCAGCACCACUGUGAGGGAGGCACCCUCACCUCCUGCUUCCUGGACCAUCGUCUUCCCAGUGUGCCCUCAGAUGACCCUUUUCCUGAACUGGCUGCUGCCGUCUUCUCCUCGCAGUGAAAGUUAUACCCUGUGUGCAGGGUCCACAGUGUCACAUCCAGUAACAGACACUAUCAAGCGCCAUCUCCCUUACCCCAGGUGCCCACUCACAACAUCAAUGUAUCUAAUGGGAAGAGAAGGACCUGCCCCAAGCAGGAUGGGUCAGGCCCACAGAGUCCUGGAGGCUGUUAAGGACCUUUUUGGGUCCUUGCCACUUUAAAGCAUCUUGUCCAUGACCCCUGCAACCCCACUGCCGCUAUCUCUGUUUGCACCCACCCUUCCACUGACAACGCUAUUGUAGCCUUCUUGGCUGCUGCGUUACCUUCUAUCUGGAUGUGCACCUGGGUGCUCUAGACUUUUUCCAGGUUUUUUACCCUGUUCUGGCUAAGUGGAAUGAGGGCAUUAAGGAAGGGAAAGGAAUGGUUUGUGUUCGUUUUUGUUCUUUGUUUUGAUGGGGAUGUGGUUGGAGGGUAUUUCGGUUAGUGUGUGACCAAAGGAGGAGAUCUUCUCAAGUAGCAGUCCUGUAGUUCUGGGAGUGUGUGUGGGAGAGACCAACCCAACAUCACACCCUAUUUGUCCAUUCCCACUCCAGCCUUCUCAGGCCCUAGGCAGCAAGGCUCUUCCCUUUACCUGGGCAGAUGGCUGACGCCUGUCCACAGGGCCCAACAGGCUGCAGGUGGUAACAGCCCUUCCCUCCCUAGGCUGAUAAACCAUGAUGGCCUGUCUCUUGCCUCCUCCCUGACUUCCCAGGAAGCCUCCUGAGUGUACUCUGAGUUGCAGCUUGGAGGGUUGGGGCAGCAGUGUUCCUUAAUUGUAGUGUGUGUUCCUGUUUGACCCCACAACCCUGUCCUCCCUUGGGGCAGCUGUCUGUGUACUGAGCAUAUGGGAAAAACAGUCUCCAAAUUUGGUGCCCCCAAUACUCUAGAAUCCUUGGUGAGGGCUCGGGCCUAACAAGUCACCUGCUUUUUGUCUCUCAAUUUCUCCUGCUCUGCCAAGUCUCUGAGCUCUGUCUGAAUAAGGUCUUGAGGCUGUAGUGCUUCCUUUGGUACAUCCUGCAGGUCUUGGUGGGCAGCCUGAUAAGGGGAGUCUCUUCCCUGUGCUCUUACCCUCUGGCACUCCCAGCCUGCUCCUGCUGGGUAGCAGGACCUCUUGCCUAGCUCAAACGAGGGCAGCUCUUUAGCCUCAAGUGCCAGUCCCUCUUCUCUCCUGCUCUCUCUACUCUGUCCAUUGCAGGCACCCAACCAGCCAGGUGGAACCUGGCUCUGCACACAGGCCGGCUCUACCAUGGUCAGGGGUCAUCCUUGGGUCAGCCACUCUCCUCCCUCCCCUGAUGGGAUCAGCUUCCCUUUCUGUUGCUUCCUCUUUCUGCCUCUGCCUACCUGAGUCUGCCUGCCUGCUGCUCUAUGGGGCAUCAUCUCAGCACCACUAAGUUUGUUAGACUUAGUUCUAAACAAGUUCUAGGAGUUAGCAAACCUUGUGACAGCAGUUGAUCAUUUUCUUCUCCUUGUGUCUAUGAAAAGGAUGUCCUGCUGGAGGGACUGCCUUGUCCUCAGGCCGCAUGGGUCUGGACUUGUGUCCCCCAUCAGAGAGAGGAAUCAGUGGAACAGAUCAUAGUGCCUUAUUCCAUUGUCGUCCCCCCAACCACCCCCACCACACCUGGCUCAGCUGGAAGUGGGGCUUCCUUCUCACUUGCACUCUCCCUCUCCAUCCACAGAUAGCCACAGGGGAAGGAUGACCCUCAGCACCCCCCCACCCCGCUUCCUGAGGGCUGUAACCAGGCAUACAUCCCCCACCCACUCCAGGACACUCUAGUUAGCAGCUUUAGCCUAGGACAGAAAAGCUGCUGCAGAUAGGUGCAGUCUGCCUCUUCCUCCCCAGCACCCCUCCUCUCUGCCUCUUACCUCUAGUCAGGAGGUUGCCACUGUCUGCUUCUUCUAGACUGGCUCCAUCUGACCCCCUUCAGGGCACUGGGGACUAAGGAUACAGGCCUUGGCCUGGUCUCUCCCUGGGCCUUGGGACAGGUCGCGGAACUCUUUCCUCCAACCCUGAAGGGGAUUGCCCUCCAUGACUGCCUUUCUGAGGGAGUGUACUAAAUGUUUACUUAAGAAAUACCCUGUUUACAGCUGGAGAAGUGGCCCACACUGGGUGGAGAGGUGACCCUGGACAGGGCCUGGCCUCCUUUAGGGCACUGCCAGUGGUUCCCCUAAAGGGAAUAAAAACAGAAGCCUAGGGUGGGGGCAAAGGCCUUAUUUCACUUCCUCUGCUCCCUGACCCUGUGGUGCUAAGACCACCGCCCACCUUCCUUCUGGCCUUGCCCCAGACAUUCCCCAUCUCUCAUUCCCUUCCAAGAUUCUUAGCUCCUUAACAUAUCACUUGUCUCCUAUCCUAAAAACCAAUGUUUGGAGCAAUAAGAUUAUUAUUUUUGUUUGAAUCUUUUUCUAAGAAAAGGAAAAGAGCUGGCGCUGUGGGAAAUUUUUAAGCUAUUGGCUGUUUACCUUUAUAGAAGACAGAACUUUAAAGGACGGCCAUCUGGGUUUUAGCCUCAGGGCACCUUUUGGAAACAGGCUGCUGCCCCCAAUUGCCCUUGCCUUGCUCCUUGCUGCCCCUUCCAGCCCUGCCCACCAAGCUUGAUUGGCCAUCCCUUCUACAGACACCCCUCCUCUUAACACCUAGAGGCACUGGUGGCUCUUGCUCCAGAUGGGUCUAUUGGUUAUCCUCCUGAGGGUACCUGGCAGUCUUUACACAAACAGCUACUGUGCCUCUGAGGCCUGGCAACCUCAGAACAGCUAUGCCUCACUACUUGGCUCUCCAGGGCCCCAGAAGCCCAGGGCUACUGCUUCUGUCCCCUCCCAUGCUGAGCUAUGGUGGCCUUCGGAUCAGCACAGGUCCAUCUCAUAUCCUGCCUUGCCUUGUCUUGAGGGCAGGGGGCUGUUGCCUAAAAAUAUGUUCCCAAAGAGUAACCAGUAGGAGCAACAUUGGCAUCCACAGCCAUCACCACAAUGAGUCCACUGCCAUGGAUUGCCCAAGGGCUGCUAGGAUUACAGAGGGUAUCAGAAGGAGACCCCACACAUGUUUUCCAGAGGCCAGAGGAGAAAGGGAGCUUAUUUAGGGACAUCUUGUGGCCCAGAGGUGUCUUUCCAUCAGAGCAGAGGAUAUUUUACUGACUUCUUAACAUUCAUUGGGACAGUCUUGGGUGUGAGAGAGUUUUAAGCCAGGCACAAAGUUAGUUUCAAAUACUAAUUAAUCUAUUUUUCUUUUCUUUCUUUUUUUUUUUUUUUUGGCACAGAAGCUGGUAAUCUAGGACCUAUGUGUGAACAACUUUAUAAGAAUAUUUUUUGUACUUGGUUUACUUGGGUUGGUAUGAUACAUUAUAUUUAAGUUCCUUGAACACUGUGGAUCCCCCUAAUGUGUAUGAAUGACUGAGGCUUUGUAAAUUAAGGGACGUUUGUGUGAAUAAAGUUAUUUGAUGGGGUUGAAGAAGCCAUAUGUGAUUUGAAAA